AACCCAUGUUGAGGAUAUUUUCGCAGGAGUUCUUUGACCCUAUCCCAUGUCUCAAAAAGAGACCCCAAUUCCAUUUGCGCAAAAGAGGAUAUUCAUUACUGAGCUU